CCUUCAUCAUCGGAGCCUUUUGCCCCUUCACCGCCAUUCCCGAAGCUCCAUCACACCCCUUCCCCAAUCUCUCUCUUUCAGUUUCGAUGCCGAUGAAUUUCGCUACCUUCUCCACGCUAUUUUCUGUCACUGCUCGCUAAAGCUCGUCAACGUCGUCGCCGCCGCUUCUACUUCUUCUUCUCGUCGCCGUUGGUUCAGUGACAGAUAUGGCAAGCUUUCUGUGAACGAACUCCCUUCAUUCUUCUCUUCUUUGUUUCUUCCCUAUGACUGUUGAUUUGGUUGUAGCUUCUCCUGUGGAGGAUUACUUUUUAUACAUUGAUGAUCUGAAAAAUCCUGAUAAGGAAGAAGCUGAGAAAAUUACAUAACCAAAUUUAGAUGCUCUUGGUGAAGACUAUUCUAUUUGUUGCCAAGGAACUGCUUUUUUUUCCUUUGCAAAGCUGCAUGAACCAUUCUUGUAGUCCUAAUGCCAAAGCCUUCAAGAGAGACGAGGAUAGGGAUGGCCAAGCAACCAUAAUCGCAGUAAGGCCGAUUCGAAAAGGAGAAGAGCAACAGGUUUCAGCAUGUAUGUUGACUGGAGAAUGGCUUUGGUAGCUUGGGUUGUGAUGCCUUGCCACUUCAUAGGCGGUCUCAUUCAAGCAAAGUCUGUCAAAGGCUUUUCAGGUGACUAUGCUGCUUCCCAUUUUGAGCUUGUUGCUCUUGCAUCUGAGUCUUCCGCCAAUAUAAGGACUAUAACGUCAUUUUGCCAUGAAGAACAUGUAAUCAUGGAUAAUUUGACUUUCUUUCCUGCUUACAUCAUCAUUACUAUUCAUCUAGGAAUUGUUUUGAAAAUGGCUCGCUUAAUUAAGGAUGGUUCUUUAAGAGAGCAGAAGUCUAAUGCAGAACCUGUCAGCAAGGCUCCUUCUAAGAUCUUUAAUUGUUUUGAAAAGGAUUUUUAUGGUAUAUUCAUAUGCAGCUGUUGCUAUAAUCUUGUUAUUUUAGCUAUAGGUUUUCUUUCCCGUUUUUCUUAUUUAUUUCGAUUUCUUCAUAGGCUGUCCAUUUUGGUUUUAAAUUGGCUAUUUUCUUUUUCUAUAUUUUUCAUGGAGAUGGGAUCAGUUUGAAACAAAUGAGGCCUUCUUUGGUGUAAAAAGCACAUUCAAUGAGGAACUAUAUACAACAAAGCUUGAAAAAGGGCCUCGGACAAGAGAACUGGAAAAAUAAGUCUUAAGAAUAGCAAGAGAAAUUGAGGGUGAGGAAACCCAAGAUCUGCAUCUUGUGGAGGAAAGAGGACUUCACUUUCAUGAAAACUUUGAUAUUGAUGAAGAAACUAGAUUCUCUUCAGUCGCUAGGGGUAAAGGUGUUGAUGAUAGCAGAUAUGAUGAAAAUGAGGACAUACUGUCUGAUUCACUCAAUUCU